AUGAACGCUAGCGACAGGCCUAACACAUGCAAGUCGAGGGGCAGCAUUUUUGAAGCUUGCUUCAAAAGAUGGCGACCGGCGCACGGGUGAGUAACGCGUAUGGAACCAACCCGCAACAGGGGGAUAACCCGGAGAAAUCCGGACUAAUACCGCAUGGUACUCUUUGCACAGAAGUGUGAAGAUUUAAAGAUGCGAAUCGGUUGCGGACGGUCAUGCGUUCCAUUAGCUAGUUGGCGGGGUAACGGCCCACCAAGGCGACGAUGGAUAGGGGUUCUGAGAGGAAGGUCCCCCACACUGGUACUGAGACACGGACCAGACUCCUACGGGAGGCAGCAGUGAGGAAUAUUGGUCAAUGGGCGAGAGCCUGAACCAGCCAAGUCGCGUGAGGGAAGACGGCCCUAUGGGUUGUAAACCUCUUUUAGAUGGGAGUAAAGUGUUCUACGCGUAGGAUAUUGCAAGUACCAUCAGAAUAAGCAUCGGCUAAUUCCGUGCCAGCAGCCGCGGUAAUACGGAAGAUGCGAGCGUUAUCCGGAUUUAUUGGGUUUAAAGGGUGCGUAGGCGGGUGAUUAAGUCAGCGGUGAAAUGCGUCAGCUUAACUGGCGAACUGCCAUUGAAACUGGUUACCUUGAGUGUAGCGGAAGUAUGCGGAAUGCGUGGUGUAGCGGUGAAAUGCAUAGAUAUCACGCAGAACUCCGAUUGCGAAGGCAGCAUACCAUACUAUAACUGACGCUGAAGCACGAAAGCGUGGGUAUCGAACAGGAUUAGAUACCCUGGUAGUCCACGCAGUAAACGAUGAAUACUCACCGUUUGCGAUAUAAUGUAAGCGGUAAAGCGAAAGCGUUAAGUAUUCCACCUGGGGAGUACGCCGGCAACGGUGAAACUCAAAGGAAUUGACGGGGGCCCGCACAAGCAGUGGAGUAUGUGGUUUAAUUCGAAGCAACGCGAAGAACCUUACCAAGUCUUGACAUCCGCCUGACCGAUCCAUAACCGGAUCUUUCCUUCGGGACAGGCGAGACAGGUGGUGCAUGGUUGUCGUCAGCUCGUGCCGUGAGGUGUCGGCUUAAGUGCCAUAACGAGCGCAACCCUUAUUGAUAGUUACUAACAGGUAAAGCUGAGGACUCUAUCGAGACUGCCGGCGUAAGCCGCGAGGAAGGUGGGGAUGACGUCAAAUCAGCACGGCCCUUACGUCCGGGGCGACACACGUGUUACAAUGGCAGGGACAGAGAGCAGCCAGGCGGCGACGCCGCGCGAAUCUCAAAACCCUGUCUCAGUUCGGAUUGGAGUCUGCAACUCGACUCCAUGAAGCUGGAUUCGCUAGUAAUCGCGCAUCAGCCAUGGCGCGGUGAAUACGUUCCCGGGCCUUGUACACACCGCCCGUCAAGCCAUGGAAGCCGGGAGUACCUGAAGUAUGCAACCGCGAGGAGCGUCCUAGGGUAAAAUCGGUAACUGGGGCU
rnacentral:rRNA from 1 species